UUCGUAUUUAUUUAUUGUUUCAUUCUACUACUCAAACUGUCUUGUAAUCUUGUGAACAUUGUGUUCUCUCUAGACAUCCUGCAGCAGUCUAUCGUUACAGUCACCAAAGUGGUUAGCUUGUAGCUUGUAGCUAACUUAUAUUCACGGGAGAAAAAGGACAGACCACCAUAGUCUUUGGUCUGGGAACUCACACUGACUGUUUAUUCUGCGCAUGCUCACAAUAACAUCCUCGUGCACGCAGGCACACGUUCUAAUGUGACAUCAAUGAAUAGGCUGUUUACAUGACUUAGCUACUCAUAUUAUUGAAUAUGCUCAACGACUAUGCAUGCAAGUUUGCGUUCCUGGUAAGACAAAUGAAUAAUAAUAAAUAAUAAAAAAGAAUGAGAGUAACUUAUCCUAGAAGAAAAAAUGACACGUGACAAUAAGCUGCUGAUGUCUGAUAAACCUUUUAGAGUAAUUCACACAGCAGCGUGGCUUUUUUGUUCAGUGCAGAGAAGCUUACACAAGUGGAAAAAGGCUUAUACUUUAAUUUUGUGAAAUUUCAGUCACAGCCUCCCAUACUACAAAUGUUGCAGAAUAUAUAUUUUUAGAGGAUUUAACCCCCACUCAAUCUUCUGCACUACCCCUUCCCUAUCCUCCCCCCAGUUACCCUCCAAUUAACUCCCACAUCAAUCGGACAUGGAAGCAUCUUAAUGUCACCACGACCUUUGUAUUUAUAGAGAUCAACUCCCCCCACCCCCCAUAACACACACACACAGACACAUCAAAAACACCAGGGAUUGUUUUCAAAAAACGUCUAACUGGUAUCAAUUACAGAGCCCAGCUCAUUGGCAUCAGAUUUGUGCUGUAAUUUUGUAAUUGUACGUGUCAUUUGGUGGUUUAAUUUGUCCCAGAUUCAUUCUCAGACCACAGCAAAGAAGUUGUUAGGGCGUAAUAAGCAUCACGCUGAGCCUUCCAUGUCUCUAACUAUGCAGAGCUUCCCCUGAAAAGAGAGGAUUUGUGAAUUGGGGUGAGGCGAUAUUUCCACUUCACGUUGCAGCUGUGGAAACAGUUUAAAACCUAAGAACAUACAUGUUACAUGGAAGUUAAAUAAAAAUCUUUGAUUUAAAAAAAAUGUAAUCAGUACUAUGACGCUCCUGUUAUCUCUCUAGCGUCAUUUUUGGAUAGGGAUGGCACAUUAAUAACAACAAAAAAAAUGCCAUGUUGACGGGAAACUUAGUUCCCACUGGCUACUACAUACAUGCAGUCAUUUUUGUUAAUUUUCACUGAGUGAAAAACUGUUAAUUUUGGCAGCUAUUUUUGAUUUAGUCUUAGUCUUAGUCUUUAGACGAAAAAUGCAUAUUAGUUUGUCACAUUUAGUCAUUUUAAUCCGUCUUAGUUUUAGUCGACGAAAACUAGACCAAAAUGUAAUUAGUUUUAGUCUAGUUUUAUUUACAUUUAAUAGCCAUAUUAAACUCAUUUUCUUCCCUUCUCAGGCCCAGGGACCCCCUGUGUUGUGUCUACAACUGCAUAAUAGUCUAGCUUGCAGUACUUGGUUGUCCAUUAGAUGUCCCUCCUUGGACAGGUCUAUAGCAGCGGGCGGCAAACUUUUUGACUCGCGGCCACAAUGCGUUGUAAAAUUUGACGGAGGAGCCGGGCCGAGAACAAAUGGUUGGAGUGUUUGUGUGAG
ensembl:lncRNA